AUUGAACGCUGGCGGCAGGCCUAACACAUGCAAGUCGAGCGAGCGGCGGACGGGUGAGGACUGGAUGGGGACUGCCCGAGAGGGGGGGAUAACUACUGGAAACGGUAGCUAAUACUGCAUACUAUCGGAUAACCCAUGUGGGAUUAGCUAGUAGGUGAGGUAAGGGCUCACCAAGGCGACGAUCCCUAGCUGGUCUGAGAGGAUGAUCAGCCACACUGGGACUGAGACACGGCCCAGACUCCUACGGAGGCAGCAGUGGGGAAUAUUGCACAAUGGGCGAAAGCCUGAUGCAGCCAUGCCGCGUGUAUGAAGAAGGCCCUAGGGUUGUAAAGUACUUUCAGUCGGGAGGCGUUACCGACAGAAGAAGCACCGGCUAACUCCGUGCCAGCAGCCGCGGUAAUUC
rnacentral:rRNA from 1 species